rnacentral:lncRNA from 1 species
AGUCAUUCCCCCUGGCAGCCAAGUGCUAAUGGAUGACUUGUUAUUUUUCUCAUUUUAUAGACGCACACGUUUAUUCUGAUCAUUCAUCCAGAGUUCCCAACACAGAGUUCCCAACACAAGGGCUGCUGCUUCCGGGGCUCCUCUUCAUGUUCGCCCACGGAGCGCGGCACUUGCUGUGUAGCAACCUCGGAGCUUCGUGGCUCUGCAGCCAGGAACCCUCAGUAGAAGAUCCUAAAGCACAGGGCCCGGUGGGCGCCUAAAGCUGAGGAGACGGAGGGAAGGUGCACAGCGACCCGGAGCUGUGUGCACCCUCGCUGUUCCUGUGGCUCAGUGGACGUGAUUCUGUGUCCUGAGGGCAGGGUGUGCGUCUGGCUUCCUGUCCCCUCUGAUUCUUUAUAGUUCAGACCAAUCCAAUCAGAAAUGCCCUCUAGGAGGACCUGCCUUCCUCUGAGUCCAGAGCAGGUCAACAGCGGGUGGGCUGGCCUGGGGCUCACGCCCUACACCUAAGGCAUUGUGUGUGGAUGUCCAUGGCCCCCUGCAGAGUGUGGGCAGCGAGCCAGCAUCUGUUAUUUAGCCAUGGUCUUGCCUGUGGCGUUGGUGUCAUUCCUAGAACUGCAGGAAGGGCGGCAAGACCAUUCGGGGUGCUCCAGAGGGAGCCGCCCAGCCUCUCCUGUCCAUGCCUCCUCUCCCCAGCCUGGCUUUCUCCCUCCUCGCGCUCAGCCGCUAUCUCCAGAGACCCAGGAGUCAGGGGCUUUCUUGACUCUGGUUAAAUUCUUGCAUAGUAGAAAGGGGCUGUGUGCAGAUAAGGCUUGGGGAUCCCCGGUGCACGGGCCUCUCAAUGCCACCCCAGUGGCGGUCCCACCGACUAACACGUAACACGUCCAGUGCUUCUGCUCGUCACAGCAGAUCCACGACAGGUAGCAGUGCUGCUGUCCCCUUUGUUUUACAGGUGGGAAGCCAAGGCCAGAGGAAGUUCGUGAUCACACAGCUGGUAGGUGUAGAGAGGGAUUUGAACCCAGGUAGCUAAUAUAGAGCGUCACCUCUAACCUCCUCCCUACGCUGCCACCUCCAGAGAUGAGCCAUAGCCACAUUGACACCUAGAGUCGGAGUCCUCUGCACAUUUUCUCGUUUUCUUCGAGAUGGUUCUCAGCCUUCCCUUCUCGGUCAGCAAGCUGCAACGUCAGCUUGGUCGUAACACGUAAGGAGAGCGUCCAGGCAAGCCUGCCGUCGGUGUGGGUCCCUUCUCCUGGAUAGCUGCGGGGGCAACGCGGCUCUCCAUACUCAGCAGCCGUCCAGCUGCAGCCACAGACAGAGGCAGGACACAGGCCUCAGCUCCAGUGCUGGGCUUAUCUUCUGCAGGAGAAGAGGCAGCUCCAGAGCCGUCAACUGCUCCGUCCGUUUCCUCCGCUGCAGGCUUGUGGCCGGCUCCUUCUCUCCCCACCUGCCCCCCAUGUGUCGGAAGCAGGUCAGUCUUUCAGGCGAGAGGGGAGUGUCCGGCCCUCCCCACCAGGGUGGCUCUCACAUGUUUGGAACGCUUCUCUGGCCGCAUCAGAUCCUCAAUACCUCCCUGCUCAGAGAAGCCGGUCCUCCAGGCUGCUCCAGCCUCUCCACCCGUAAGAUCUCCGCGUGCGCAGCCAAGCACUGGUGCAGAAGGUGCCCAGCGUUCAGAACAGACAAGCAAGAGGUGGAUGAAGUGUGCCCCGGUGGGUUGAAGAGAUGCUAAGUACUGUUGUGAUUUUACCCUCCUGUCGGCUUCGAGUGGGACAGCAGUGAGAGUCUCUCCCUGGACAGAGUGACGGCAGGGCCACCAUCCUGGGAUCCAAUAACACUGCACCACAUCCAAGCAGAGACCUGGGUCCUCUCCACUGCAGGGCUGAGCAGAACCCCAAAUGCCCGGCGGAAUACUGGACGAAGCUCAGCGGCUUUAGCUCCCAGCACCACGACACAAAACAGAGCAAACAACCAAAAGAGAACUUUGUGCCUGUGCGGGAACCGCCUUCAAGUGAAGUUUAAAACGUGGGUGCCAGUAGCUCGACCCCCUUGUUCCAGGCCUCUCGGAUUCCUGCUCCCGCCACCCUCUGAAUGCUCCAGUGAGGGUUGUGUUACCCACGAAGCACAGAUAAGAAGAGCAGGACUGUCGCACUCAAGCACCUCUUCAGGGUCAUGCUGUCCUCUGUGAUAGGAAGAUCCGAGCCUGGGUCUCCUUCCUUCAUUCAGCCGUCUCCUGAAACUCUCAAGUAAUGUGUGAGCACCAAACUCUGCAACUGGGUUUACUUCAUGCUCUCCAGUGAGAAAACAUUUUAAAAGAUGAUUUUCUGUGAAGGUUAGAUUAAUCAAAUAAAAUCAGUGAAUAAUCUAGCUGAUUAACCUUAUCCUUUCCAAUUAGAGAAGCUUUGGGGAACUUCCUGCCCGACUUGCUGAUUCCCAUGGCUGAUGCAGUGUCCCUGCGAUGCUCAGCUUUGGAGUCUGUGUUCGCUGGGCCCUGAUCCCAAGGAGCAUCUGUGUCACCCUUUUUAAUCAUGAAAGGAUGUUGGAUUUUGUCAAAUGCUUUUUCUAUAUCUAUUGGAAUGACCAUGAACCGCAUAACCUUUAUCCUUUCAAUAUGCUGCGUCACAUUGACAGAUGUGGUGUGUUUAACCAUCCUUGAAUUCCAGGGGUGAAUCCAUUGUCCAUGAUGUAUGGGCUCUUAAAUGGGUUGUGGAAUUCAUAUUGUUUUUAUUUUGUUGACAACUUUGGCAUCCAUGGAAUCAGGGAUUAUGGCCUCUAGUUUUCUUUUCUUGUAGUGUUUUUGUCUGGGUUUUAUAUCAAGUAAUUCUGGCUCAACAAAAGUGAGUUUGGGGGGCUGGGGUUGUGUUUCAGCAGUAGAGCACUCACCUGGCACAUGCAAGGUAUGUGUACCAC